AUAAAAUCAUAAAGAUGAUGAACUGUAAAUUCAUAUUAGUAGCACCUUUAAUCU
rnacentral:tRNA from 1 species